CCUACGGGAGGCAGCAGUGGGGAAUAUUGCACAAUGGGCGCAAGCCUGAUGCAGCGACGCCGCGUGAGGGAUGACGGCCUUCGGGUUGUAAACCUCUGUUAGCAUCGAAGAAGCGAAAGUGACGGUAGGUGCAGAGAAAGCGCCGGCUAACUACGUGCCAGCAGCCGCGGUAAUACGUAGGGCGCGAGCGUUGUCCGGAAUUAUUGGGCGUAAAGAGCUUGUAGGCGGUUGGUCGCGUCUGCUGUGAAAGGCCGGGGCUUAACUCCGGUUUUGCAGUGGGUACGGGCUAGCUAGAGUGCAGUAGGGGAGACUGGAAUUCCUGGUGUAGCGGUGGAAUGCACAGAUAUCAGGAGGAACACCGAUGGCGAAGGCAGGUCUCUGGGCUGUAACUGACGCUGAGAAGCGAAAGCAUGGGGAGCGAACAGGAUUAGAUACCCUGGUAGUCCACGCCGUAAACGAUGAGUGCUAAGUGUUGGUCUCAUAAGAGAUCAGUGCUGCAGCUAACGCAUUAAGCACUCCGCCUGGGGAGUACGACCGCAAGGUUGAAACUCAAAGGAAUUGACGGCUGCUGCCUCCCGUAGG
rnacentral:rRNA from 1 species